rnacentral:piRNA from 1 species
UGUGGUGCUGGUGAGAUCUUACUUGCGUU